CAAAAAGUAGUAUAAGUAAUUACAUUUCGCUUACACCGAAACAAAGGCUCAUCGCCCUUUUUGA
rnacentral:tRNA from 1 species